AUUGAACGCUGGCGGCAUGCCUUACACAUGCAAGUCGAACGGCAGCGCGGGGCAACCUGGCGGCGAGUGGCGAACGGGUGAGUAACAUAUCGGAACAUACCCUAGAGUGGGGGAUAACGUAGCGAAAGUUACACUAAUACCGCAUACGCACUAAGGUGGAAAGUGGGGGGAUCUUCGGACCUCAUGCUCAUGGAGUGGCCGAUAUCUGAUUAGCUAGUUGGUGAGGUAAAGGCACACCAAGGCGACGAUCAGUAGCUGGUUUGAGAGAACGACCAGCCACACUGGAACUGAGACACGGUCCAGACUCCUACGGGAGGCAGCAGUGGGGAAUUUUGGACAAUGGGGGCAACCCUGAUCCAGCAAUGCCGCGUGAGUGAAGAAGGCCU
rnacentral:rRNA from 1 species